UUCAAGAUACAUACUAUUAAUUAGAACAUGAAUUCAAUUAAUAAUGUCCACUAACUAUACAAAACAACACAAAUCAAAUGUCCAAGAACAUCACAAUAAGGGGGAAAUGUUUGAGUUAAUGUGUUGUCCUACAUGUGCAGAUGAUGUCCAACUUUAAAUGUUAAAGAAGUCCUGAUGUCUACUAGUAUAAUAUUUGUUGAAUAUGGUAUCUAGGUACACAUAUCUAGAUACACAUAGGGUAUCUUAGUAUAAAUAUAUUAUUUUUUUAAAAAAAAUAAUCAAACCAGCUUGCCCUAUAAUGAAUAGGCUAGGCUAGUAUGUAUUGCAAUUUAACAAGAGAAGGUCGGAGCAAAUGUAUAUGUAACAAUGAUAUAAUGAUAUAUUGCAAGUUAAAUAUAAUAUUAGAUCAAAUGUAUCAAUAUGAUGCUUUAUUGACUUCCGCCUGCUUCGUUAGGUUGAUUUGCAUUGGUGGGCGUCAGAUCUUGACGGAAAAUCGCAUUUUUUCCUGUAUUGAGGUAGGGCUGUGCGUCUCUAUUUAUAUAAAGUCAGACCGUGAGUCUUAAUUUUAUAAGCUCAUCAAGACACCAUUUAAAAUAUUUUUAAAAAUAUUCAUCUUGACAUCAUUUAGAUAUCAUUGCAUAAACUAUCAAAAUUAAGUUUACAAUUACCUUGAAUUAUAAACUUGAACACUUUGAUAAUUUUAUAAGAACUUACGGGUAUAUUUAAACCGAGAAACCACGGUCGGAUGAGAUCAAACCUAAAAUUCCAUAGAACUCGAUCUCUAAUAACUAGAAUGAAAAAACGCAGGCCUGGAUCAAACUUCAUCCCACAUCUACAAACUGAUAUUUGAUUUAAGGAAUCAGUUAAACUAGUAAUAAUAUGAAUAAAUAUACAAAACAAAGUAAUAUAGAGAGAAUCAUUGAUGUACCUUUGGACAGGGAGCCAAUAUGGAUGAAUAAUAGACUGCCAGAUAAAGCAGUAGCUGCACCAUCACUUUCUUUUUUCUUCUUCAUGAAUAAGGGACUAAGGGAGGCGGGCAGAGAUAAAAGGAUAUGAAGCCC
rnacentral:lncRNA from 1 species